rnacentral:siRNA from 1 species
UCAAGUGGUGCGGUAGAGUGG